rnacentral:rRNA from 1 species
GGCUCAGGAUGAACGCUAGCGGCAGGCUUAACACAUGCAAGUCGAGGGGUAAGGUUCUCUUCGGAGAAUACACGACCGGCGGACGGGUGAGUAACGCGUAUGCAACCUGCCUCUUACUGGAGAAUAGCUCCCGGAAACGGGAAUUAAUACUCCAUAUCUCAGUUUGUCUGCAUGGACAGACUGGGAAAGCUCCGGCGGUAAGAGAUGGGCAUGCGGGUCAUUAGCUUGUUGGUGUGGUAACGGCACACCAAGGCUACGAUGACUAGGGGGUCUGAAAGGAUGAUCCCCCACACUGGUACUGAGACACGGACCAGACUCCUACGGGAGGCAGCAGUGAGGAAUAUUGCGCAAUGGAGGAAACUCUGACGCAGCCAUGCCGCGUGCAGGAUUGACGGCCCUAUGGGUUGUAAACUGCUUUUCUGUGCCAUGAACCUUCCCUACGUGUAGGGAACUGACAGUAGCACAAGAACAAGCAUCGGCUAACUCCGUGCCAGCAGCCGCGGUAAUACGGAGGAUGCAAGCGUUAUCCGGAUUCACUAGGUUUAAAGGGUGCGUAGGCGGGAGGAUAAGUCAGUGGUGAAAGCCUGCGGCUCAACCGUAAAAUUGCCAUUGAUACUGUCCCCCUUGAGUCCGGCUGUGGUGAGUGGAAUGAGUAAUGUAGCGGUGAAAUGCUUAGAUAUUACUCAGAACUCCAAUCGCGAAGGCAGCUCACCAAACCGGCACUGACGCUGAGGCACGAAAGCGUGGGGAGCAAACAGGAUUAGAUACCCUGGUAGUCCACGCUGUAAACGUUGAUCACUCGUCGUUGGCAAUACAUCGUCAGCGGCUUAGCGAAAGCAUUAAGUGAUCCACCUGGGGAGUACGUCAGCAAUGAUGAAACUCAAAGGAAUUGACGGGGGCCCGCACAAGCGGAGGAACAUGUGGUUUAAUUCGAUGAUACGCGAGGAACCUUACCUGGGCUUAAAUGUAGAGUGCAUAGAGUGGAAACAUUCUUUUCCUUCGGGACCCUUUACAAGGUGCUGCAUGGUUGUCGUCAGCUCGUGCCGUGAGGUGUCGGGUUAAGUCCCAUAACGAGCGCAACCCCUAUCGUCAGUUGCCAUCACUUCGGGUGGGAACUCUGGCGAAACUGCCGGUGCAAACCGCGAGGAAGGUGGGGAUGACGUCAAAUCAGCACGGCCCUUAUGUCCAGGGCUACACACGUGUUACAAUGGCCGGUACAGUGGGACGCUACCACGCAAGUGGAGGCUAAUCUCUAAAACCGGUCUUAGUCCGGAUCGGAGUCUGCAACUCGACUCCGUGAAGCUGGAUUCGCUAGUAAUCGCACAUCAGCAAUGGUGCGGUGAAUACGUUCCCGGGCAUUGUACACACCGCCCGUCAAGCCAUGGAAGCUGGGGGUGCCUGAAGUCCGUAUCC